AAGUUUUAUUGCAGUUUUAAG
rnacentral:miRNA from 1 species